rnacentral:rRNA from 1 species
AGAGUUUGAUCCUGGCUCAGGAUGAACGCUAGCGACAGGCUUAACACAUGCAAGUCGAGGGGCAGCGAGGGAGUGGCAACACUUCUGUCGGCGACCGGCGCACGGGUGAGUAACGCGUAUGCAACCUGCCCUUCACAGGGGGAUAACCGGGAGAAAUUCCGACUAAUACCGCAUACGUCCUUUGGGGGCAUCCCCGGAGGAUGAAAGAUUUAUCGGUGAAGGAUGGGCAUGCGUGAUAUUAGGUAGUUGGCGGGGCAACGGCCCACCAAGCCCACGAUAUCUAGGGGUUCUGAGAGGAAGGUCCCCCACAUUGGUACUGAGACACGGACCAAACUCCUACGGGAGGCAGCAGUGAGGAAUAUUGGUCAAUGGACGAGAGUCUGAACCAGCCAAGUCGCGUGAAGGAAGACGGAUCUAUGGUUUGUAAACUUCUUUAGUGCGGGAACAAAGCGGCGUCGUGACGCCGGAUGAGUGUACCGCAAGAAUAAGCAUCGGCUAACUCCGUGCCAGCAGCCGCGGUAAUACGGAGGAUGCGAGCGUUAUCCGGAUUUAUUGGGUUUAAAGGGAGCGCAGGCUGCGAGGCAAGUCAGCGGUCAAAUGUCGGGGCUCAACCCCGGCCUGCCGUUGAAACUGUCCUGCUAGAGUUCGAGUGAGGUAUGCGGAAUGCGUUGUGUAGCGGUGAAAUGCAUAGAUAUGACGCAGAACUCCGAUUGCGAAGGCAGCAUACCAACUCGCGACUGACGCUGAGGCUCGAAAGCGUGGGUAUCGAACAGGAUUAGAUACCCUGGUAGUCCACGCAGUAAACGAUGAAUACUAACUGUUCGGCUGUCUCUUAU